rnacentral:rRNA from 1 species
GUGUAAGGCCAUACCACACUGAAUGCACCCAAUCUCAACUGAUCUCAGAAGCUGAGCAGGGUUAGCUCCGGUUAGCACUUGGAUGGGAGAUUGAUAUUUAGUUUAUUAGAAAUUUGAACAUAUACA